GGUUCCUCUUCCCUCUUUGUGUCUUUGCUCUUGUUAUUCAGGAAGAGAGGCAGUGACACAUUGAUGGGUAAGCUUCUCUUCUCCUAUAUCUGCUCCUGCUCAUAUUCCUGUUCCUAUUGAGCAGCCGUUUGCUAACGUUGUUGCUUCUCAUGGACGAGGCAUGAAUAAAUUCCACUGUUCUCAUUGUGGUAAAAUUAAUAAUCCUGUGGAAUUUUGUUUUCCUACAUGGUUUUCCUCCGGGUUUUGGCAAAGGCAGAGGGAAGGCACCUCAAUCUGCUGCCCUUAUUCUGGAAAUGCAGCAUAGAUCUGUUAAUUUGGUGGAGGAGACAAUAUCUGCUACUCCUUUGCCCUUGUCUUCAUCUACUGCUGUGAAUCUACCUAGUAGUAUCAACAUUUAUCAGUCUUUUGUAGAGCCAGCACCUCCAUAACUCCACUUCUUUGGCUAGGGACUCUACCUCUGACAGUCACUCCCAACCAUUAAACAAUUUUUCUGGAAGCUAUACGGGGGACUGUGAUUAGGAGGGGUAACCGUGUUGGCAACUUAUACAUCUUUGAGUUCUCAGAUUCACCAAGUAAUGCAGUAUGCAGUUUUCCCUCUACUUCUCACAAUAAUGUAUUUGCCGUUUCUCAUGCUAUUUCUGUUAACUCAGUUGUAAGUCUUGAUGUUUGGCACCAACGUUUGGGCCAUUCUUCUCUAAAUAAACUCAAAGUUUUUGUCUCAAUUAUUAUCUCCUACAAACACCCAGCUCACAAAUUGCCAGAUAUGUCCUUUAGCAAAACAGAAAAAGCUUUCUUCUCCAGUUUCAGAAUCCAAGUCAUUUGCUACACACACAAUGGAUUCAGAUAUUUCCUAACCAUUGUGGAUGAUUUCUCACGUUUUGUAUGGACUUUUCUCCUCACAGAAAAAUCAGAGAUCCAUACAGUCAUGACACAGUUUUUCUCAACUGUUCACACUCAAUUGUCUAAGAAAAUCAAGGUCAUACGAAGUGAUAAUGCCCCAGAGUUUAAUCUCACCUCUUUACUCUCAUCUUAUGGGACUAUCACUCAACAUUCUUGUGUAGAAACACCACAACAUAAUGCAAGAGUGGAGAGAAAACACCAACAUCUUCUCAAUGUAGCAAGAAGCCUUAUGUUCCAAUCACAUUUUUCAGUUGAAUUUCGGGGGGAAGGUGUGCUCACUACUUCUUUCCUCAUAAAUAGAACUCCAUCAUCUGUGCUUCCAGACAAUUUGACUCCAUUCCAAGCUCUUUUUGGUAAAAUUCCUACUUACUCCAAUCUGAAAGUGUUUGGUUGACUUUGCUUUGCUUCCACAUUGGAUAAGAGCAAGCACAAGUUCACUCCAAGAGCUAAAAAAUGCUUAUUUCUUGGUUAUCCUCCUGGUUAUAAAGGGAACAAAGUCAUGAACCUGGACACGCAUGAGAUUUUUAUCAGUAGAAAUGUGACCUUUCAUGAGUCAGAAUUUCCUCUUGCACACCAGUCACCUUCUCACUUUCCUACUGAUAUAUUUCUCAUCGUCCUGAUACAUCUUUCUCUCAUAUCAUUCCUCAAAAUACUUCCCAUACUCCAGAUUCUACCUCUACUUCAUAUCAGUUAAAAUCUGGAAGAACUAUAAACACUCCUACACACCUUUCUGAUUACAUUUGUACUUCAGUAACUUCCACCUCCAAAUACCCAAUCUCUUGACUAUUUUUCUUAAGCCAAGCUAUCACAACCUUAUCUCAGAUUCAUCAUUCUUCUUUCCAUUCUUACUGAACCAUCCACCUAUAAGCAAGCAUCACAACAUCCAGAGUGGUGUUGACUAUGCAAGAUGAACUUCUGGCUCUGAUAAGGACUGAUACAUGGUUGAUCACUUUCCUACCUCUUGGAAAGAUUCCUAUUGUAAAUGGGUUUACAAGAUAAAGUUCAAGGCCGAUGCUACUGUAGAAAGGUAUUUACAAGAUAAAGUUCAAGGCCGAUGCUACUGUAGAAAGGUAUAAAACUCGUUUGAUGGCUAAGGGCUUCACUCAACAGGGGUUGAUUUUCAUGAUACCUUCUCACCUGUUGCAAAAUUCACCACAGUGAAGUUAAUAUUAGCAUUGGCAGCAAUACAAGGUUGGAAAUUAGCUCAUCUUGACAUCAACAAUGCCUUUUUGUAUGGUGAUCUAGAGGAGGAGAUAUACAUGACUCCACCUCCUGGUUUGGUAAAAUCCACCAGUUGGAUCUGGUCAGCUGGUUCGAAAACUCAAGAAGUCUUUAUAUGACCUUAAGCAGGCUUCAAGAAAGUGGUAUCUAAAAUUCUAUCAAGUUCUGGCUGGUUUUGGUCUGAUUCAAUCUGCUUCUGAUCAUUCCUAUUUUUACAAAUAUUCAACAGAUGGGAAGUCUUUGGAGUAGUUAUCUAUGUUGAUGACAUUUUGGUUUCUAGUAGUGAGAAUGAUCUGAAUACUUCAAGACAUUUCUACAAGCUCACUUCAAAUUCAAAGAUAUGGAUUCUACCAAGUCUCUACAUCAAGAUGCAGGGGAUCCACUUCCAGACCCCACUCCUUAUAGAAGAUUGAUAGGCCGCCUUGUGUAUCUUUGUAUCACACGGCCUGAUAUCACUUUUGCUGUAAACAAGCUUAGCCAAUUUCUAUCAAAACCAUGCUCGGAUCACAGGCUUGCUGAUGAGAGAGUUCUAAGAUAUCUGAAAGGUACUUUGAGCAUUUUUUCUGAUGCGGUCGAUACAAGAAGAUUAAUCUAUGGUUUUUGCUUAUUCCUUGGCUCUUCUCUGAUUUCUUGGCGUUCGAAGAAGCAACAUACAGUCUCCAGAUCUUGCUUGUUGUGAAGUGGUGUGGAUUGUUGCCUUACUCAAGGGACUUUGGAUUGGAGGUGACCAGUUCCUCUAUAUUGUGAUAGUCAGGCGGCGGUUCAUAUUAGUUCCAACCUUGUUUUCCAUGAACGUACUAAGCAUAUAGAGGUUGAUUGUCAUACAGUUCGAGACAAGAUACUUGAGGGUGUGAUCAGAACAGUCCAUGUUAGCAACACUCUACAGCUUGCUGAUAUCUUCACUAAGCCCUUGGCUGCUAAAAUUUUGCUGUCCAAGAUGGACUUCACAAUUGUUUAUAGUCCAUAUUGAGGGGGCCUAUUAGAAUAAGGCAUAAAAUAUAAUCAGUCAUGAAAUGCUAUACUUGCCGAUACUUGAGCUAAAUUAGUUUUGAGGUUUUUAUUGUAUCACCAUUAUAAGGUGAUGGCUUUUCUGUAUUGAUUUCAUUAGGGAAUGACAUUCUUUUCCUCCCGCA